AGAGCGUCUCCAUGGUAAGGAGAAGGUCAACGGUUCGAUUCCGUUUUGGGGCU
rnacentral:tRNA from 1 species